rnacentral:lncRNA from 1 species
UUUCUCUCUCUCACUUUAAUAUAUGUUUCAUCCGUUUGUUGUUUAAAGUUUUUGCAGACAAAUAUUUUUUUAAAAAUUCUUAUUUGAAACGGCAUUUAAUAUGAAACUAUGGAAGGUAUCAUAAUAUCGUUAUUAAUAUGGUUCUAUUUAUAUCAUAAAUAAUUAGAAAUACCUUGUUUUGUGUGGCUUUAGGGACUUUGUUCAGGCAUAAGUGUCACACUUGUGGGGAUGCAUUGCCUUUACACUCUAUGGGAAUUUGUGAGCCUUGGUUUUUCGGUACAUUCAUGGUAUACCUCCCAGUCAUUUUGGAGGAUAAAAGCUACUUGUAUUUGGUUAUUUAGUAUCACUGAUAUCAUAUUCAAGCUUCUUGGAGUUUCGAAAACCGUGUUCAUUGUUACAAAAAAGACUUUCAACGAGACAAGGUCAGGGACUGGGGAUGGACCAUCUUGUAGUGCGGACCCAAAUGCUGGUAAAUUUGAAUUUGACGACUCAGUUUAUUUUUUGCCUGGCACGUUCAUUGUGUUGGUCAAUCUAGCCGCUAUAGCCGGGUUUUUAGUGGGUCUACAACCAGUAAGUCAUAUCUACGGAGGAGGUGGUUCGACUUUUGUAGAGGCUUGUGCAUGUAUUUUGGUGGUUAUGUUGUUUCUUCCAUUUCUAAAGGGUUUAUUUGAGAAGGGAAAAUAUGGUAUUCCAUUGUCUACGCUCUCUAAAGCUGCAUUUUUAGCAGUGUUAUUUGUUGUAUUUUCUGUAGGAAAGUAGUUUAUAUAGCGAUGUGGGUUUUUUAUGCAACAAAACUAAGUUUAUCAUGACAUUGUACCAAUGAAUAAUUAAUGAUAUUUUAUGAAAUUAGUUUUUAUUUAUUAAAGUCAUAAAAUAAUAGUUCCACCAAAUUGAAGAAAAAGGGUUCCUUGACGUGACCAUGCGCAUGCUUGAGAUGAAUUUGAACCACCACGCUAGCACUGGCGCAUUUCAAUGACUUUUUUUUUUUUUUGGUAAAAAUGUUAAGAGCAUUUCAAUGACUUAGCGGUAAAGACCUCGGAAUUGAUCAGUACACCAGUUUUCAUUAUUUAUAAGUUUAUUAUUAUUUUUGCAGUGCUAACUAUGUAAGCGUACAUAAUACAUUAUCACAUUACGGAACGUUAACAUCUCCAAACCAUCUACGUUUUCUUAGAAGUCAAACACCUCACGUGCCAUUUUCGCCUCGGACAUGAAGAUAUAUACAUAAGUAUUUGGCUAAAUAUUAUAAUACUAAUAUUAGAUUCAUGUUCCUGAAUUUCAUAUCAAUGAUAUAAUAUUCUCAUACGCAAAAACAAAUCAUCUCACAUAGCUUGAUUUUGUUUUAUGUUAAUAUACGUCAUUUAUUGCUUAAUUACGGUCCACGUAUAAAAUAAUCAUGUUGAUGACCAUAAUACACUACUUUGACAGGACAAUAGUAGCAUUAAUUAAUAGUAGUAUAUAUAGACGUGACGUAGGUAACUAUUCGGAACAUAUACGCAAAAAAAAAAAACUUGACAAAGCUUCUUCUCCCAUGGCGGAUUCAAGCUCUUCACUUCCUCCUCUUUGCGAAAGGAUCUCACGAUUCUCGGACUUCCCUUUUCUCCUCUCUUGUACCGGAUUCAACGUAUGAACCAAAACGACUUAAAAAUAAUUAUUUAUUCAAAAAAUAUUAAAGAAUGGCUAUGUUUUUAAAAAUUAUAUGGUAUUAUUUGCUCAUAACUCAUUUGUCAUUUGAUAAAUUGUUAGAAAGAAAAUUACAUAAUAUAAUUAAACUUCCUAUUUUAUUGUUUGUCUUUUUCAGUUACAUUAAUGAAAUAUCCUUAAAUAAAUUUGGACAUAAUGUCUUUUGAUCAACCAAAAAAAUGAGUUAUCCUUACGUGCAUAAUUUUAAUAAUAGAGAUUUUUAAAAACAUGCAUCAUUAAAAUGUUACCUAAAACAUGCAGCACUAAUAUAUAACAUGCAUCAAUAAAACUAGAAUUUGACUCACACAAUUGUACGGAUAUUAUUUUCAGUUGAUUAAAUUUAAAAAUAAUUAUUUAUUCAAAAAAUAUUUAAGAAUGACUAUGUUUUUAAAAAUUAUAUGGUAUUAUUUGCUCAUAACUCAUUUGUCAUUUGAUAAAUUGUUAGAAAGAAAAUUUUAGCAUAAUAUAACUCAGUUGUCAUUUGCUAAAUUUAUGGUUUUUAUUUAUAUUUUUUAUUAUUUAAUUAUAAUAUUUUCAUUUUAUAUUUGAAAGAUAAAUGAAUUUUCUUUCAAACAAUAUUUUUGUAAAUGUAUUUUUUAAAAAAUAAUCAAUUAAAUUGUUAUUAUCAUUGAAUAUCAUUAUUUUUGACAUAAUUUGAGUUUUCGUUUACAUCAAAACUUAUCAUAUUUUAAGAUAAUUUUAAUUUAAAAUGUAAUUUUCAUAUUUUUCAAACAAAUUCUAAUUUUUUUUUUUAAAUAUUUUGUUAUAAUUGUUAAAACAAUAUUGAGUUGCAUUUCAAAUAAAAAGGUAAAGAUAUUAAAAAUAUUCUAGUUAAAAUAUGUAAAAUUUAAUAUAGUUAUAAGGAAAUGGUCAAAAUAAAAAAAAUUACACAUAAAAUAAUCAUGAUUUUUGUUAACUGGGCGGAUCAUUAUUUAUAUGAUAUCGCACACGAAAGAAAAAUUUCUGUUUUUAAAAUUAUCUAAUUAACUCUAUACUCAUUUUUUUAUAUUUUUUAUAUGAUAUCACACAUUCGUAAAAAAAUCGAUAGUUUAAGAUGCAAAAAAAAAAUAUUUACUUCAUGAAUAUAAUAUGAAUGAAUAUUACAAAUACAUCAUUUGAUAAAAUAAAUAAUUAAAAACUGAAAAUUCAUUAGGGUCUAGUAUACAUUAAAAUUAAGAUUCUUUUUAAUUUUAUGUAUAGUUCUAGCUAGCUGGUACACCACGCUCUUUUCGGUUGUGAAGUUAACAUUCCAAAAAAAUUAUGAAUUUGCAUCGUAAUUAUCAUUUCAGAGUUCAUGACUUCCCGUCAAAGAGCCGCCGAUUCUUGUGGUGAACACCCUGCUUUCUCUGCUAGCUGUGAAUAAUCCGGCGAAUAAACUAGCAUGUUAUGUUUCAGACGAUGGAUGCGUAGAGCCACAUACCUAAACGAUAUAAUAAAAGCGAAGUUAAGGAAAUAGACGAAUGUAAAAAAAGAAUACAAGAACGAUAAGAAAUCGUAUUCGCAAACAGACAUGGAGUCGAGAUAUGAUCUCUUUCCUUAUCUUAAAAUAUUUGCUCCGUUAGUGAGACGGGACUAUACGAAUAUAGAGUCCCAUGAUACAACCAUGGCAGACGAACCACACUUCUGAUCGCCCUAUCGAACUAUAAACUCUAUGAAACACUCUCGUAUUUAUGACUUACACAAAGGGAUUUUUUGCUGUUGGUUUCGAUGUAAAAAGCAGUGAAAAAUGAAGAGGAGGAGAGUUCAUAUUUAAAGAGGAGACGUGGAGCGGUUUUUCGAAACUGUUGCAAACGUUUUUCUAAAAUCUCUCAAAGAUCUUAGAGUGGAUCGUUGAGCAGCUUUUUCCGCAAGUUUCUCUCUUGUUGACUCGUUCUGAUCCAUUUCGAACAGAUAAACUUUGUGUCGUUUUUAUACGAACUACAUGUCGUUUACACACAAAUGUCAUGCUCUGGCAAAACAUUGAGCUUAAGUUGGUCCACCAAAACCAAGACCCACGCCCACGCCGAGCCGAGCCAGAAGGCGGCAGCGCGCGUGGGAAACUCUGUCUUCCUCUGAGCCGUUUAAUCCAAGAAGAGUGUGAUACCAUGUAUACAUCACAACAUCUCAUGUUUUAACCGAUGUGGGACUCUCUUAUUUCUUUUCAUUAAAGCCAACAAAACUUUUACUAAGAGCCCGUAAGCCCAUUUCGUUUUCACAUUUGCCUUUCAUUAUUUGAGCCAAUAUGCUUAAUAAUUAGGCCCAACAGGAUGCUCACCUCUCACAUACUUUUCUCUCAAGGAAGCUUCUAAGUUCGCCAAGAUUUGGGUUCCUUUCUGCAAGAAAUACAAAGUUAGAGUUAGAGCUCCUUUUAGAUAUUUCUUGAACCCUCUGCCCUCUUCAAGGGAUUCUGAAUUCACUAAAGAUUGGGAACUGAUGAAGGUAAUGAGUUCAAUUGUUAUUUUAUAUCAUUUUGCGUUUUUUUGUUUACGUUAGCAAAUUGAAUUAUUUUAGUUGUUUUCAGAUGCAUUAAAUUUAAAUAUUGAAAAAAAUUAAAACUUAUUAAGAAUUAAUUGGAAACUAGGUGGUUGCCCGCGAAUUCGCGUAUAUAAAUAUUUUACGAAAAUUAUAUAUUAUGUUUAUAAUUUUAUAAUUUUAAAAAAUAAUCAUAACUAUUAAAAACAACCUUUUUAUUUUAAAUAAUUUUAAAUAAUUUGAAAAUCAAAAAUCUUGGUAUUGUAUAAUCUUAAAAGAUUAUUGAGAUAUAUUGUUAAUUCUAUAAAUUUUAUUAUAAGUCUCCAAAAAGUCUUUUUAUGACAUGAUUUUUGAUUAGUAAAAAAAACCAAAGAUUAAUGAACAAAAAGUUUUUUUUAUAACAAUUUCUAUUUUUGCAUUAUUUUGUUUACCAAUUUAUAUUAUUUAGAAGUAAAAUAGUUACAAGUAAUUAAUCAAUUUAACAUUUAUAGUAAUACGUAAAAUACAUGUAUUUCGGUUAACAUAUAAAAAAUUAAGUAUGUAAAAGUAUAAAAUAACAAAGAAUACAACCAAGAAUACAACAAGCAAGUUUUAUUAUUCUUCAUUGAUGUUUCCUAUUACAAAAUAAGCAUGUCAAUUUUAUUAUAAUCAAAAUUAUAUCAAUAGAGUCUUAACUCUAGUCAUGUAUUAAUAUAUUGCUCUUAUUUUUUUAAUUUAUAUUAUAAUAAACUUUUUCAUUGAUUAAUAUUAUUUUAAAUAAUUUACCAUAUAAUUUUAUUAUAAUCAAGGAUAUAAGAAUUAUAUUAAUAGAGUAUAUUAAUUUUAGUCUCGUAUUAAUAGAGUAUAUUAAUUUUAGCCUCGUAUUAGUAUAAUAUUAAAAGACUUACUAUAUAUUUUACUGUUUUUAAAUAUAAAAAUACUUUAAUUAUUUCUGAAAGUAAUAACUCAACUAUACAAUCAACAUUUGUCACUCAAAAAUGACUAACUGUUUUUAAAAUUGUAUAUUUAACUUUUUUGCACUCAUUGGAUACAUUUUAAAAUUAUAUAUUUGAUUGUUUUGCAUUCAUUGGAUACUAUCCAACUGGUUUAACUGCCGCGUAAACGUGUCUGCAUUUUAGAACCUUGGUGAUAUGUUUAGAGAUGGUGGUUAUUGGUCAUAUAUUAUAAGUUUCUUUUCCAAUAAAAAAUAUUUAAAAGCAACAUGUGCAUAAUUCCAUAUUUUCUGAGACUAGAAAUCCAGAUCUCCUGGUAUAGAAUCAUUAAUGAACCAUUAGUCAAACUACUGGACCAAAUAGACUUCCACAGAAAAUAAUAGAUUAUUCCCAAGUAAUUGAAUCUAGAGUUUUUUGUUUGUUUGUUAAAAAGGCUAUGAUUGAAUCCAGUUGGUCAGGUGAAAAAAUAAGACUCCAUCACAUAUGUUUUCCAGAAAAAGAAGGCAAUGCAAGGAAGUAAUGACUUGUUUUUUUCUUAUAAUAUUGUCACAUCCCAAUUUUUCUUAAACCAAGAUGAAUUUUUAUUAUUAUUAUUAACUUAAUUUGGCCCAAAGCUCAUUAACCCUUAUUUUUUUCUGUUCCGCAUAAUAAGCCCUAGAGUUUUUAAAUUCUUAUCUUAUAAAUAGAAGGCGGCCUUUUCUUUGUCUCCCAUCAUAAACCUAGAGCGAAGCUCUGCAAAGUUUCAGAGAAAUCUGAAAACCUUAGCCGUCAAGAUUUUUCUUUCUUCUCUUCUCUCUCUUUCUCUCUUGGCCAUACUUUCUCUCUUGGCCAUACUCUCUCUCACUUGCGUCUCUCUCUCUCUCACUUGCGUCUCUCUCUCUCUCUCUCUCUCUCUCUCUCUCUCUCUCUCUCUCUCUCUCUCUUUGUUUUCCGUUUGUGCAUGCCGGAGCCAAGCCAUCGAAGAUCCCUAACAAACCUAGAUGUAUUUAGAUCUCUUCUUGUCUUCUUUCUACAUCUUGUCACAGGUGAGAUAAGAAACCCUAAUUCUUGUUUAAUCCAUCUCAUUUUCUCUUUUAUAUUAGAUAUUUCAUCUUAGGUCGCUUGGUGGUAACACUGAUCUUUUCUCUUGUAAAUCAGGUUCAGUGAAAGCCUUCUGUUAUAGAUCUGCUUCUCCCCUCCAUUAUGUUCGCAUAUCUAAUGCCAAUGUAAGACCUGAUGUGAUCUUUCUUCCCUCUUACAUUAUUGCUUCAUAGUGGGAUUUACUAUUUAAAUCAUUCAUACAUGCGUGUUAACUAUGAGCAUACACAUAUUUGUUUGAUAAGUGAACUAUAUCGUAUAUAUAUAUAUACACCUAUUGUAUUGUAGUGCGUGAAUACCUAGAUCUACUCAUAUAUUGCUAAAAUGAAUAUGAUUGUAUGAUAAUUGAAACUUGUAUGAGGAUGUUUGCAUUGCGUGGGGAUUAAGCAUGUGUAGUUAGUGUAUAUGAGAUAGGAGAGGUCUAAAGGCCUAUGAGUGUCGGUGCAACGUGAUUGAGAGUUCUUGGGCGUUGCAUCGUUUUUUGAUGGGUAAUACGGAGACCGAAUGAGGUAGCAUGAUUCAUCGCCGAAGCAGGUAGACAGUCUGCUCGGAUCAUGCGGGAACCGAACAAGGUGACGUGACCGUGUAAACACAGUGGCGGAUUAAGCAUGAACCAAUGUGGUAACUUGAUUGCGUGAUGGUGUUGAACUCACGGGCACAGAUUUAGGUGGUGAGCUCUCAAGCGACAACAUGAAGAACGCAUGGACCGAAUGAGGUGGCUUGAUCUCAUAUUGGCACCGUCAGAGUUUAUCCUCAUUACUUGUUAUUUGAUCUUGUUUUACUGGAUGUUCUAGGCAGAUCUUUUAUUAUGUUGAGGUAAGAAACCCUAGUUCUUGUUUAAUCCAUCUCAUUUUUCUCCUUUAUAUUAUAUAUUUCAUCCUAGGUCGCUUGGUGGUAGCACCGAUCCUGUCAUGUCCCCGAUCCUAGAUAGGAUCGUCCAGACGGACCAUGGUGCGAGGAGACGCACCAGUCAGGUCGUAAGACCUUGAGAUAAGCGUACUAUGGCACAAAAUGAAGGUUAAGGGCAUCAGGAAGCUGAAACUUAACCAGAAUAUGAGGGAAACAUGUAAUAAGGAACUGGAUGAGUGAACCGGAAGCUGUAUGAGGUCCGGAUCAAGCUCAGCUAGCUAGGUGCAGCUGUAAACUAGUUCACCAUGACUUAAUCAGCUCACAUGAGCUGGAAUACUAGCUGAUGCGCCUCGGAUCAUAGACCCGGGCCAGGAUGAUGCGACCAUGGCUGAGCCAGAUGAUUCUUCAACAAAAGACAAACCAGGAUGGAUUAAUGGUGAGGAUAUUGAUCUAAAACCAGCUGAUGAGACUGAGGACGAGCUGGAACCAGCUGAAGAGAGUAUGCUUGAGCUGAAACCAGCUGAAGUGAUAGUAGAUGAGCUAGAUGAGCUGAGUGAGCUAAGUGAUACUAGCUUGGAGCUGAAUGAGCUAAGUGACACUGAAGAUGGAGCUGGUUUAGUUGCUGGGCGAAAUAAGCAUUUUUCAGCCCAAAGAAAAAUUCAUAACAAAUUCAAUUUGGGUCGGUUUUACACCAAAUUCUACCAGACCUUUCCUCAGUCCAUUUCAAGCCCAUUCUCAUCAAGAAUGCCAAGAGGGAGUCAGCAAGGAAGUCUUGGUCGUGCAUGGGAAAAAGAAUUCAACAAAAAUCAUUAAUUUCGGUCUUUAGUCAAAGUCUUCAUUUCUAGUUUCCAUGUCUUGUUUUUAGCACAUUCUUCUUUGGAUUUCUACAACUUGUAAUCCUAUAUAUAGGGCCUAAGAGCCACGAAAUAAGAUAAGCUUUUUCCCCUUUUAUUUGAGUUUAUCUAUUUGUUCUUUGUAGAACACUUCUUUGUUUCUUGGUGAGGUUAUCUCCGAGUAAACAGCCUCUAAUUCGUUGGACCUGUGCGUCAUAUCAGGCAACGUUUAGAAAUCCUUCUUUUGGUGGACUUGUGAGUCAUAUCAAGCACCAACUGAAGUCUGGUAGUAUCAUUGGGCCAUCCGCAACCCAUUGUGUCACCGUUCAAUCCAUCAGUUCUCCUUUUUGGCGAGUUCAUAUCCCUUUAGUCCGGUCGAGUGAUCCUUCCCUAUUUUAGGGCGUAUCAAGUGGUAUCAGAGCCACUCAACCGGUACUAUCUAUCCAUCUUUCUCAUCUUUCAUUUCUAAACACUUCUUCUUCAUCUUUCUAUCUCAAAUCCGGGCCACUACCUUACCUAUCGCCAUUCUUCUAUAAAAAAAUAAAAAGAGAAAAGAAAAGAAAAAAAAAAGAUCUAUCAAAAAAAAAGAGAAAAGAAAAAAAAAAGUUUGAUUUAUUUGGCUAGGUGGUGGAAGAGAAAUCCUGCUGGCUGAGGAGAAAUCCAGCCUUGGAGUGGUUAAUACGGAUUUCAAAACCAAUUCUCUUUAUCUUUCUAUCUUGUGUUCAUCUCUUGCUUGCUUGGAGAAAUCCAUUGGGUUAUUUGAUUUGUUCUCUUAGAACUUUGAGAGGAGACUCUUGAGUGACCAUAAAAUCUGAGAGAAACACUUGUGUGGGUGAGAUCAAACACUUGAGAGUGUGAGGAUUAUUUUUAUCUGUUAACCUUUUGUGUUGAGAACUUUCAGGUUAAGAUGUUUGAAGCUGAUCAAAGAAGGCUUUUCAGUCAGUUUGAAGUCUGGGAGUUUUGUGACAACCUUGUGGAGGGUGUGGUGAAAGCCCUCAAGGACGUCAGCAAGAUCCAAAAGAAGAGCACAACCACACGUGCAUCUGUAGCUAAGCCUUCCUUAUUCAUCAAUGAAAAACCCAAAGGUAAAUCUGAAAACAACCUUGAAGAUCAAAAAGAUUUUUCAGAUUCUUUACCAAUUUUUGAUGAGUAUGAUGAAGAGAUGAUUGAAAGUUUGAUCAUUUGUGAGGAUGAAUGUGAUCUUCCAUCUCCAAAAUCUGAUUUUAUGUUUGAUGAUGAAGAGACUAAUGGACUAACCUGUUUUGAACCGGAGCAUCCGAGUAGUCUUGUUCUAUUUUCACAGGAUUUUAAGGAAGAACCAUUCGACUACUCACAUCAAGGACUGCUUCUUGGCACCAGGAGACCCAUGGACGAUGAUCUAGGUCCCAUAUUUGAUGAGGAAGGCGAACCUGGUCCAACCUUUGAAGCGGAAGCACCAAGCAUAACAUCCAUCAUCAUGGAGAACCAACUUUGCUUUGAUCCCGGCACAACUCCUACGCCUUUGACCACAUACAUUCAAGAGCACUGUGAGAAACUUGAUUUGAUUAAUUUUCUGCCUGAUCUGUUUGAUAAAGUCAGUUCCAAUGACAUAAAACUUUCUGGUCUUGAUCAUCUUGAAAAGUCAUCUGAGCUUGAUUUGCAACAACUAGUUUUCUGCUCUAGAAAAUCGUUUGAUUCAUUUGUCUUCAAAGAAAAUAGCUUUAGUCUGAGAUCUUAUGGACAUGAACUGAUCACUGGAAUUUUGUUUGCAUCCUCAUAUGCUUUGGAAGAUUUUAUGGUUAGCACAUUGCUGGAACAGAAUUCACAUAAAGCUGAAACAGAUUUUUGUGGUGAUUCUGUUUUGAAACCUGUCCAUUCUUAUUCUGAAUCUGAUCUUGAACUAAAACUUUUGUGUUCUGAAUCUGAUCAAGUUAGGCACGUUUUGGAAAUGUUCUAUGGUAGUUCAUGCCUCGAAAACAUUCUGAUUUACAACACCUUCUUUGAUAAACAUGCUGAGCCUUGGAUAAGAAAUUCCCAAUUUGAACUUAAUCUUUUGUGUUCUAAAUCUUAGAAACUUGCGCAUGAUUUGAAUUUGUUCUUUAGGAACUGUGCUAUCACGUGCCCUGACACCAUUCUGGUGUACAAGACUUACUUUGAUAGGCUUCAUGAUGAUCUGAAACGUGUGCUACAUGUUCUAGGGAAAGAAAAUUUGGUUUAUGAUCUGAACAAGUACUUGUCUUGUACAUAUGAUCCUGGUAUUUUAAUGUUUGUUUUGAGUGUCCAGGAUAAACAGGAUCAGUCUCCAAGAGGUGUCAGGAACAGAAGCAGAGAUCGUGCUUAUCAGUUUAAGACUUGGAGAUGCAUGUACUCGAGGAAACCAACUUCAAAACUCCAAGGAAGUUUCUUUCCAAAAUUUUCCUUCACUAAAUUUUACAUGAUUUUUAAAUUCUUUUUGUCUGAUUCAUUUCCUUUUGAUACAGGUAAAAUGGAUUUGAGGUCAAAUCCUUUUCAAGAGGGAGGGAAUGAUGCGCCUCGGAUCAUAGACCCGGGCCAGGAUGAUGCGACCAUGGCUGAGCCAGAUGAUUCUUCAACAAAAGACAAACCAGGAUGGAUUAAUGGUGAGGAUACUGAUCUAAAACCAGCUGAUGAGACUGAGGACGAGCUGGAACCAGCUGAAGAGAGUAUGCUUGAGCUGAAACCAGCUGAAGUGAUAGUAGAUGAGCUAGAUGAGCUGAGUGAGCUAAGUGAUACUAGCUUGGAGCUGAAUGAGCUAAGUGACACUGAAGAUGGAGCUGGUUUAGUUGCUGGGCGAAAUGAGCAUUUUUCAGCCCAAAGAAAAAUUCAUAACAAAUUCAAUUUGGGUCGGUUUUACACCAAAUUCGACCAGACCUUUCCUCAGUCCAUUUCAAGCCCAUUCUCAUCAAGAAUGCCAAGAGGGAGUCAGCAAGGAAGUCUUGGUCGUGCAUGGGAAAAAGAAUUCAACAAAAAUCAUUAAUUUCGGUCUUUAGUCAAAGUCUUCAUUUCUAGUUUCCAUGUCUUGUUUUUAGCACAUUCUUCUUUGGAUUUCUACAACUUGUAAUCCUAUAUAUAGGGCCUAAGAGCCACGAAAUAAGAUAAGCUUUUUCCCCUUUUAUUUGAGUUUAUCUAUUUGUUCUUUGUAGAACACUUCUUUGUUUCUUGGUGAGGUUAUCUCCGAGUAAACAGCCUCUAAUUCGUUGGACCUGUGCGUCAUAUCAGGCAACGUUUAGAAAUCCUUCUUUUGGUGGACUUGUGAGUCAUAUCAAGCACCAACUGAAGUCUGGUAGUAUCAUUGGGCCAUCCGCAACCCAUUGUGUCACCGUUCAAUCCAUCAGUUCUCCCUUUUGGCGAGUUCAUAUCCCUUUAGUCCGGUCGAGUGAUCCUUCCCUAUUUUAGGGCGUAUCACUAGCUCACUCAGCUGGGAACAGUUGGUGGUCCGCUCAUCUCAGCUGGGAGGAGUGUUCCGGUCCGAACCAGUGUGGUCGGGUCCGAGAGGUUACGGCCGAGCCGGUGGUCCAUGUAUAUUUACCUCUUUAAUGAAACAUUUUGGUCAUUUUGCUCUUUGUGGUCUAUUUUUGUGACCAAAACUUUUUUAGUGAUAUCCUAGGGUAUUUCUCUUAACUAUAAGCAUACACAUAUUUGUUUGAUAAGUGAACUAUAUCGUAUAUAUAUAUAUAUACACCUAUUGUAUUGUAGUGUGUGAAUACCUAGAUCUACUCAUAGAUUGCUAAAACGAAUAUGAUUGUAUGAUAAUUGAAACUUGUAUGCGGAUGUUUGCAUUGCGUGGGGAUUAAGCAUGUGUGGUUAGUGUAUAUGAGAUAGGAGAGGUCUAAAGCCCUACGGUGAAACGUGAUGGAGAGUUUUUGGCCGUUGCAUUGUUUUUUGAUGGGUAAUGCAGAGACCAAAUGAGGUAGCAUGAUUCAUCGCCGAAGCAGGUAGACGGCCUGCUCGGAUCAUUUGGGAACCAAACAAGUUGACGUGAUCGUGUAAACACAGUGGCGGAUCAAGCGUGAACCAGUGUGGUAACUUGAUUGUGUGAUGGUGUUGAACUCACGGGUACAGAUUUAGGUGGUGAGCUCUCAAGCGACAACAUGAAGAACACAUGGACCGAAUGGGGUGGCGUGAUCUCAUAUUGACACCGUCAGAGUUUAUCCUCGUUACUUGUUAUUUGAUCUUGAUUUACUGGAUGUUCUAGGCAGAUCUUUUGUUAUGUUGUGCGGUGAAUGUUGAGUGAUGAUUUCGGGGCUACAAAAACUUUUUUCACUAAGCUUUUGUGGAAAUGUUUAUCCCUCAUUAUUCUUUUUUUUUUUUUGCAGGUUGGUGGGUUUUUGUUUAAGGCAUUCUAAACGUUGAAAGACAUAUUGUUUUACUCCUUAGGAUAAAGACAAGUGACUUGAUAUCACCCAGCUGUGUUGGGUUGGGAUGUUACAAAUAUUCAGUUGAUUUCUCUUUUAUUUAAUAAUGAUAAUGAAGAACCAUUACGUGAUAUCUCUUUCCUCUUCGACGACCACUCAUCCAUCACUAAAAACACACAAGAGCAAACGGAAUAAAAAGACAACUCUAUCGUCAUCCUAAAUCGAAUCAGACCACAAAAAAAACCACCUCAAAUACCCAAAGAUACACACAUCAUUGAGAAUAUAACUGUAUUAGUAUACGGUUAAAAAAAGUAUACGGUUUAAUAACCAGUUUAUACAUUUUAUUUAAUCAUUGUAUCUAAAGGAUAAAGUAUUCCAUUUUUGUUUGAUUGUGGCUACAAUUUCUCUUUGUCACUCUUUUAUUGUUAACAAAAGGUCUACUCAAUAUAACCUCUUCUCACCACUCCUUUUUAUUAUAAUAUAUAUACUCCUUUUCAGAACACUCUACAGUAUACACACUAUGACUAUAUGAGUACAAGCAUUCGUAGACGUAAAACUACUUAGAAAGCUCACAAGAAAGCUCCUCCCAUGGCGGAUUCUAGCUCUUCUCUCCCUUCUCUUUUCGAAAAGAUCUCAUACAGAAGAUAUUUUCUGAGAGCUGUGGAUCUCAUGAUGCUCGGGCUUCUCUUAUCUCUUCUCUUGUACCGGAUUCUACAUAUGAGCGAAAACGAUAACGUUUGGGUCGUAGCUUUCCUGUGUGAAUCUUUUUUCACUGUCAUAUGGCUGCUUGUUACUUGCAUAAAAUGGACCCCUGCCGAGUAUAAACCAUAUCCAGAUCGACUUGAUGAAAGGUAUCAUGGAAUAUAUAUGCACACAUAGCAUAUAUGCUUAUUCAUUUUUGUAUAAAGAUCUAGGCUUCUGGUAGCUGCUACCAUAUUCUAAUUAAUUCUAUUUUUAUAUUAUGCAGUAAUCAUUUUGAAUUUUUCUUUAUGAACUAACUAGUACUGUUUCAGGGUUCAUGACCUUCCAUCGGUAGAUAUGUUUGUAACCACGGCGGAUCCAGUUCGGGAGCCGCCGAUUCUUGUUGUAAACACCGUGCUUUCGGUGCUAGCUGUGAAUUAUCCGGCGAAUAAACUAGCAUGUUAUGUUUCAGAUGAUGGAUGCUCACCUCUCACUUACUUCUCUCUCAAGGAAGCUUCUAACUUCGCCAAGAUUUGGGUUCCUUUCUGCAAGAAAUACAACGUUAAAGUUAGAGCUCCUUUUAGAUAUUUCUUGAACUCUCUGGACGCAACAGAGGAUUCAGAAUUCAGCAGGGCCUGGAAAAUGACGAAGGUAAAGUAUUUGAUUGCCUUUUAGGCGUUUGAGUUUGUUUCUACGUACGUUCACAACAAAUUAGUUAUAUCAUGUUUACUUUAAAGUAAAAGACAAGACCUUCCCAUUUUUUAAUCAAACAUUCAAAACUGCAAGCAGAUGGAAAAGAUAACUAAAAUAAAUAUAUAUUGAAUUUGCGCUUAUAAAUUCCUUAAAUGUUGUUAAAAAUAAGGCAUCAAUCUUUAUAGAGAACAGAAGAAAAAGAAAAAUUAAUUAGCUAACAAGAGAAACAUAUAAUGUUGCAAAAAAACCCAGAGAAACGCGUUUUCCAUUUGAGAAAUUGCUCUUAGCUUUCGUGUUAUUAAUAAACUAACAAUUCUGAUGUUCUUUUCCUUUCUAAUUUAUGUAAUGAUAUGAUAUUCAAGAGGGAGUAUGAGAAGUUAAGCCGGAAAGUGGAAGAUGCCACCAGAGAUUGGGACGCUGACGAUGAUUUUGAAGCUUUCUCAAACACAAAACCAAAUGAUCAUUCAACUAUAGUUAAGGUAUUUCAACAAUUUACCAAAGUAGAAAGAAAAAAGAAAUCUCAUACCAUUAUAUUACAAAAGACUUAGUAAUAACAAAUAUUAGCUACCGUCACAUAUAUAAAAUCUGAAGGUGGUAUGGGAGAACAAAGAAGGUGUGGGAGAUGAGAAUGAGGUCCCUCAUUUUGUCUACGUUUCAAGAGAGAAAAGGCCAAACUAUUUACAUCAUUACAAAGCUGGAGCCAUGAACUUUUUGGUAAGUGAUUUUCUCACAUAUCUCUCCUUUUUCAUUUAGUGAACUUUCUGGUACCUAAUUGUGUUAGUCCCGUGCCACCAUUACAAUAUUGGCUGAGAUAUGAGAUCAACCAUUUGACGAUCUAUAAUUUUAAUUUUGCUAUUACAUGCUUGCAAAAUAAAUUAUGAGCUGUGAUAUAUAUACAAAUAUACUAUUUUAAGGGAAGGUAAAGAAAGAAAAUAUGAAAGGUCACAUGAUUGAGUAGUACUUCGGGACUAUUAGAGCAUCUCCAACACAUAACACUAUUUUAGUGUCAAAACCACACUAUUUUAGUGUAGUUUCAACACUAAAAACAAAUUCAUCUCCAACCACAACACUAAAUUUCACACUAAAAGUUAUUUUAUAAUACUAUAAUGUAUUUAACUUUUUAAUUUGUCAUUUUUAAUAAUAUAUUUUACUUAUAAAAUAAGUAAAUAGUGUUUUAGUGAAGUGAAUAGUGUUUUAGAGUGGUGAAUAGUGUUACAUCAAAUUUAGUAUAAAAUUAUAGUGUUACACUAAAUAGUGUGAUUUUUAAUGUUGAGUUGGAGAAGGUUUUGGUGUAAAAUUCACACUAAAAUGGUGUUUUGGAGUUGAGUUGGAGAUAAAAAAAAAUCGUAUCCAGAACAUCCUAGUCAGUAGUCACAAAAAAGAAAGAGAACGAAAUGAUCUUCUUCCCUGUUGCAAUGUAUCGCUUGAUUGAGAUAAAUUGGCCCAACUCUAUAAUAAUGUUCCAUGUGAUAUUCUAACAAUCAUUGCUGACAUUCAAUUUAUUGGAGGUGACAUUUUAAAAUGAUUGUUGAAGUGAAAAGGUAACCAUUUAUUACGUUCAAUUAUUAAUCAUGUAAUAACCAAAUUAAUAGUCAUGGUGACCGUGCCUUUGAAAUUUAUAUUUAAACAUCAUAUCGUAUAUGACAUGCCAUACAAACUACAUUAGAUCAAUAAAAUUUAAACAGAAGUCUAUAUAGUUUAAUUUUUUUGAAGCACCAGUUUGCAACUAUUAAUGAUUGUAGGUCUUAAUUAGUCUUCUUUGCUUGUUAUAAUAAUAAAAUGUGAUGAUCAUAACUCAUCAGAUUAAUUUGAACAGGUCCGAGUGUCAGGGUUGAUGACAAACGCACCAUACAUGUUAAACGUAGACUGUGACAUGUUUGUGAAUGAAGCAGAUGUGGUGCGACAAGCAAUGUGUAUAUUUUUGCAAAAACUAAAGAAUUCAAUAAAUCAUUGUGCUUUUGUUCAAUACCCUCAAGAUUUCUAUGAUUCUAACUGCGAGGAAUUCGUCGUCUUACAAUCAGUGCGGUUUCUCAUCCUUACUUUUAUUUGUUUAUUUAUAGUAUCCAUAUACAAAAUUUAUUAAUCUUUUCAAUCAAUACUUAAUCUUUGGUUUCUACUAUUUUUUGUUUGUUUUGUUGUGGAAAUUAGUAUUUGGGAAGAGGAUUUGCGGGAAUCCAAGGAGUAAUGUACUCAGGGUCGGGAUGUUUCCACACUAGAAGAGUUAUGUACGAUCUCUCAGUAGACGAUUUAGAAGAAGACGGAAGUCUUUCUUCUGUUACUGCAAGUAAGUACUAUUGGCAAAAACCAUAAGAGAUAGUUGGUAUAUUGCAUUAUCAUAUAUUUCGUUAAAACAUAAUUAAAACAAAGUUUCAUGCAUAUAUCACCAAUAUUUUGAUAUUUUUAUUCUAAUCAUACAAUAUUUACGCAAUACUUUUGUUGUUCUACUAGUCUAUUAUAAAUUUAUAUUCAUCCACUUAUUCAUUUAUCAAAUCAAUCAUUUACGGCUCAUGUUUUUUUAUCAAGGGAAAUUUUUGGAUGAUGAAAGUUUGGCGGCAAAGUUGGGGAGUUCUAAGGAGAUUAGGAAAUCGGUGGCCAAUGCAUUGCAAAGAAAAUCAAAUUCUCAAAAUAUUCUUACGAACUUUCUUGACGAGGCCAGAGAAGUGGGGCAUUGUCAAUACGAGUCCCAAACGAGUUGGGGCAAAACCGUAAUACUCUUCUCACUUCAAUCAAAAUAGUCUAUAAAAUAAAACAACAAAUAUUAAUAUAUAUAUAUAUAUAUAUAUAUAUAUCAUGUAGAUCGGUUGGUUAUACGAUUCAACAGCGGAAGAUGUAAACACGAGUAUAGGUAUCCAUUCGAGAGGAUGGACUAGUGCAUAUAUAUAUCUGGAUCAACCCGCAUUUCUAGGAUGUACGCCACCAGGAGGACCAGAGGCGAUGGUUCAGCAACGGCGAUGGGGGACGGGCAUGCUCGAAAUCCUUUUCAACAAACAUAGCCCCUUGAUCGGUAUCUUUAGCCAGAAAUUGAGAUUUCGGCAACGAUUGGCUUAUAUUCACGUCUUCACUUGGGGUUUAAGGUCAAUCCCUGAGCUCGUUUAUUGUCUCUUGCCUUCGUACUGUCUACUCCACAACUCGGCCUUGUUCCCAAAGGUGACUUUCUCUCUCUCACUUUAAUAUAAACUAGAUCUCUUGACCCGUGCGACUGCACGGAUGCAUGUUUUAUAGUACAUACAAACUUUAAAAAGCGAAAAAUUUAACGAUUACAUCUUAACUACUUUUGUUUAUUGGUUAAACUAUGUAUUUCAUCAUUGUGUCAUGUAACAGAAACGUCCGUAAAAUGUUAUGAGCCAUAAAUAUUGUAGUAAGAAUUUUAAGGGGAACGGUAAAAUCGAUAACAUUUCAAAUUAUUUGAUCAGUUGAAUAAUCAAUAUAACAAUGACCGGUUUGAUAGUACAUAAAAAAUUAAGGUCUGUAUGUUAGGUAAUUAUGUCUCUAGUAUUGUAUAUCUGGUUUUUUUUUGAAACAACUAUAUGUGGUUUAUACAUAACUCUAGUGAAUUUAUAUGUUUUGGGUUUGUAUGAAAUAGUAUUCUUAUGAUCAGUUAUGGUUUUAGGUGUGUAUUACUUGGUUUGAUCUCUAAUCUCACGUUUACAUUUUAUAUGUAUGUCAUAUUUCUUGUUUGGUUAGCAUUGGACCAGCACAAAAACAUGUCUAAACAUAUCUCCUAUAUAUAUUAAUUGAGAAUCAUUAAAAAAAUUAUAACCUUAAAUUUGUAUUAAUUAAAAAAUAGUUUUGUUUAGGUGUCAUUUAAUUAGGCUAUCAAUUUGGCUUACGUGACAUCAUUAGAAUCAAUUGAAUAAUUAGUAAGUCCAAAAUCCAAUUGCUAGGAAAACUUAUAUUAACCCAAACAUAAAUGUAUAUAAUAAAUUUAAUAUUCUCUCAUUAACUUCAAUACAAAUAAAAUUGUUUGCGACAUAUAAUUAUGGUCGCCCAAGAAACAUACGGUUUGCCCCAAAAGUAUGCUUAUAUAAUAUUAUCUUUUAUGAUUCACAACAACUUUUUUCAUUUUCGAUUUAAUACAGUGCAAACAAUUUUAUUGUAAUCAUUUGUUGUCGUUUUCAUAACGAACGCAUUCCCACAUAUGAUUCUUCCCACUGAUUUUUUUUAUGAUGAGUUAUUUUUACAAUGAGUAAGGUUCUUCAAGUUUUUCACCAUUAUAUAUACCAAGUUGUCUCAAAUAAUUUCAGAGUAAUGUUUUGUUCAAAUUCAACACAUACCAACGGAUGUUAUAGGUUCUUCAACGGUCAAACUUAUUUUCACGAUAUCAGAGACGAUAUGAUGUGUUACAGGUUUUAGAUUUCAGAGACAAUGUGGUAUAAGUUCUAUAGAGGUCAAUUUUUUUCUCUAAGCAAAUCAUAGAACGACUUAGAAGUGAGUGUGUUUUAUUCAAUAGUAACUUUUCUAAUUUAUUUAUUAAACCAAGUAGUAAACAAUGAAAAUUGUAUAAUAUGGAAGGAGUGGAUCAUUGAUUGUUAUAUAUCCGAGUAUAGAACAAUGAAAUAUAUUUCAAAACAAUACCAGUGGACUCUAUAAUUAAUAUACGGUUUAUACACUGUUGAUUUUGGUUAUGUGGCAUUGAAAUUUCAAUUUAACCGAACCAUAAAUCAAUCAAAUAAUUUCAAAAUAUUAAUUUUAUAACGAAAAACAAAUCUUCGUUAACCGUGUUACCUACUUUUAGAAUUAGUGUGAUUUAGGUAGGUAUAUAUAUUAUAUAUAUUAUGUUUUUAUCUAUUUAUUACUAAUCAUUUUUCUUUUCUUCUUAUGAAUCUAUAAUAACUAUAAAUUAUUUAACAAUCAUUUUUAAUAGUUAAAUAUAAUAGAAAAACAUUCUAUUUAAAAUUAUAGUAGUAUUUAAUAAAAUUGAUUUUUAAUCAUACAAAAUUAAAUUGACAAAAUGUAAUAAAAGAUAAAUAUAGUUUAAGUUUUUUUUGGUAUAAACCAAAAGCCGACAGUAUAUAAACCGAACCAAACCAAAAUAAAUAUGAUUUUAAUAUGGUAUCUAAUUUUUAUAAACCAAUAUAUCGAAAAACCAAACAAUGCCAGACUAAAAUUGAAUAAACCAAAAACUGACAGUAUAUAAAUUGAACCACACCAAAAAAAAAAUAUGAUUUUAAUAUGGUAUCUAAUUUUUAUAAACAAAAAUAUCAAAAAACUGAGUCGAGACCAGACCAAAAUCUGGAUUAAACAACCGUAUUUUGAAUAUAUGAUUUUAUGCAUGUUUCAACCCACGCUUUGCGUGGGUCUUAUCCUAGUUACAAAAUUACAUGUCUAUUCGUGUAUGUUUGUUUUUUAUAUAGACCCAUUCGUAUAGUAUAUGUAGAUUUAGGAAGUUAAUUAUAAAAUAUUAAAUUAAUACAUUGCUAUCAAUGUUGCGAAACAAUUUUUUAUUUUUUCUUUACUAUUAUUCAUGUUUCCAAACAUAUCUAAAUGGUACUUCUACUUUAAUAAGAUAGAUUUCACCCGUUUGUUGUUUAAAGUUUUUGCAGACAAAUUUUUUUUUUUAAUUCUUAUUUGAAAUGGCAUUUAAUAUGAAACUAUGGAAGUAUCAUAAUAUCGUUAUAAAUAUGGUUAUAUUUAUAUCAUAAAUAAUUAGAAAUACCUUGUUCUUCGUGGCUUUAGGGACUUUGUUCAGGCAUAACUGUCACACUUGUGGGGAUGCAUUGCCUUUACACUCUAUGGGGAUUUGUGAGGCUUGGGUUUUUGGUAUAUUCAUGGGAUGCCUCCCAGUCAUUUUGGAGGAUAAAAGCUACUUGUAUUUGGUUAUUUAGUGUCACUGAUAUCAUAUUAAAGCUUCUUGGAGUUUCGAAAACCGUGUUCAUAGUUACAAAAAAGACUUUCACCGAGACAAGGUCAGGGACU